rnacentral:rRNA from 1 species
GAUGAACGCUGGCGGCGUGCCUAAUACAUGCAAGUCGAGCGAACGGACGAGAAGCUUGCUUCUCUGAUGUUAGCGGCGGACGGGUGAGUAACACGUGGAUAACCUACCUAUAAGACUGGGAUAACUUCGGGAAACCGGAGCUAAUACCGGAUAAUAUUUUGAACCGCAUGGUUCAAAAGUGAAAGACGGUCCUGCUGUCACUUAUAGAUGGAUCCGCGCUGCAUUAGCUAGUUGGUAAGGUAACGGCUUACCAAGGCAACGAUGCAUAGCCGACCUGAGAGGGUGAUCGGCCACACUGGAACUGAGACACGGUCCAGACUCCUACGGGGGGCAGCAGUAGGGAAUCUUCCGCAAUGGGCGAAAGCCUGACGGAGCAACGCCGCGUGAGUGAUGAAGGUCUUCGGAUCGUAAAGCUCUGUUAUUAGGGAAGAACAUAUGUGUAAGUAACUGUGCACAUCUUGACGGUACCUAAUCAGAAAGCCACGGCUAACUACGUG